GGCAGCUGCCUUUCCGAGAAGCUCACCUCUAUAAAACACCCACCACUGCUGAGAGAGCAAUUUGUCAGCCCCCUCGAAUGAGGAGUGCAAGAAAAGGAUGCCUUUAAUUAUUCCUGCCUGGGAGAGAGGCCCUGACUCUGUGCUCCAGGGCUGCUGCUCGUCUGUGUGGAGUUCCAAGCCCCCAACCCUUCUUAGUCCAGAACUUCCAAAGUGCACCUCCCAUCUUCCUCAAACGCCUUUCAGCUCUCCCUGCUGCAGCAGGACCUGCUCCAUCUCUCCUGUCCAGAACCUGUGCUAC